GAUUUCAAGGUGUGCAGGUUCUCUACUGCCAGUGGCGAAGCCACAUGUUAGAGAAAUUUCCCCUUCUCUGUGCAAAAAAAAAAAAUUAAAUAAAUAAAGAAAAAAAAAACCAUUGUUGUGUUAGGGUCCAAACCCAGAAUUUGCCACCCCUUACACUUAAAAACAAAAUUAUUUUCUUUGUUUAACCGCCCUAGCCCCAACCCAACACCAACCCCAAACCGAACAAAGAAAUCCUCCACCUGUUUACUAUGGUUCAGAGUUCAAUCGUUUGCGAGGCCAAUCGAUGUAAUCCUCCGCCCCAACCGAAGUAAUCCUCUUUUUGUUGAAGAAGGUUUGUUUCUCAAAUCUUUAAUAUUACCAAUUUUUAUCCUCUUUUGUUGUUGUUGUUGUUAAUAUUAUUAUUAUUAUUAUUAUUAACUUCUUUUAUGGAGGUUUUGUUUAAAAUCC
rnacentral:lncRNA from 1 species